rnacentral:rRNA from 1 species
GAUGAACGCUAGCGGCAGGCCUAAUACAUGCAAGUCGAACGGGAUCCAGAUCAAAGCUUGCUUUGGUUUGGUGAGAGUGGCGUACGGGUGCGUAACGCGUGAGCCACCUACCCUUGUCAGGGGGAUAGCCCGGCGAAAGACGGAUUAAUACCGCAUGUCAUCAUUGAGAGGCAUCUUACGAUGAUCAAAGAUUUAUCGGACAAGGCUGGGCUCGCGUGACAUUAGCUAGUUGGUAAGGUAACGGCUUACCAAGGCUACGAUGCCGAGGGGCUCUGAGGGAGGAAUCCCCCGCGCGUGAACUGCGACACGGACCAGAAGCCGACGGGAGGCAGCGGAAAGGAGGUAUGGGCAAGGAACGGUAGUCUAAACCAGCCAUGCCGAUGGAGGAAAGACGGCGGUAGGAGUUGUAAACUGCUGUUGUACAGGGACAUACAUCGGUACGUGUACCUGUCUGAGGUUACCGGAAGAAGAAGGACCGGCUAACUCCGUG